UACGAAGGGGGCUAGCGUUGCUCGGAAUCACUGGGCGUAAAGCGCACGUAGGCGGAUUGUUAAGUCGGGGGUGAAAUCCUGGAGCUCAACUCCAGAACUGCCUUCGAUACUGGCGAUCUUGAGUCCGGGAGAGGUGAGUGGAACUCCGAGUGUAGAGGUGAAAUUCGUAGAUAUUCGGAAGAACACCAGUGGCGAAGGCGGCUCACUGGCUCGAUACUGACGCUGAGGUGCGAAAGCGUGGGGAGCAAACAGG
rnacentral:rRNA from 1 species